UACGGAGGUGGCAAGCGUUACUCGGAAUUAUUGGGUGUAAAGGGCAAGUAGGCGGCUUGGCAAGUGGGGGGUGAAAUACUCCGGCUCAAUCGGAGAACAGCCUUCCAAACUGCCAGGCUUGAGUGUGACAGAGGAAAAGGGAAUUCUCGGUGUAAGGGUGAAAUCUGUAGAUAUCGAGAAGAACACCAGCGGCGAAGGCGCUUUUCUGGGUCACUACUGACGCUAAAUUGCGAAAGCUAGGGGAGCAAACAGA
rnacentral:rRNA from 1 species